rnacentral:tRNA from 1 species
CAAGAUGUAGCUGAAAGAUGUUAGCGUUCCACUUACAAUGGAAAGGUAGACCAGUAAAUUAGAGGUUCAUCUUGA